UACGGAGGAUGCAAGCGUUAUCCGGAAUGAUUGGGCGUAAAGCGUCCGCAGGUGGCAAUGUAAGUCUGCUGUCAAAGCGUCUGGCUCAACCAGAUAAAGGCAGUGGAAACUACAUAGCUAGAGUAAGGUAGGGGUAGAGGGAAUUCCUGGUGUAGCGGUGAAAUGCGUAGAUAUCGAGAGGAACACCUGCGGCGAAGGCGGGUAGCUGGGCCGACACUGACGCUGAGGCGCGAAAGCCAGGGGAGCGAACGGG
rnacentral:rRNA from 1 species